rnacentral:rRNA from 1 species
UACGUAGGGGGCAAGCGUUAUCCGGAUUUACUGGGAGUAAAGGGUGCGUAGGUGGCCAUGUAAGUCAGAUGUGAAACCUUGGGGCUCAACCUCAAGCAUGCAUCUGAAACUGCGUAGCCAGAGUGCAGGAGAGGAAAGCGGAAUUCCGAGUGUAGCGGUGAAAUGCGUAGAUAUUCGGAGGAACACCAGUAGCGAAGGCGGCUUUCUGGACUGUAACUGACACUGAGGCACGAAAGCGUGGGGAGCAAACAGG